GGAGCCAGCGUCCCAGCCUAAUCACGGAUCUGCUGCCUCCCAGCUGUCUUGACUGAAGGCCACCGCCCCUGCAGGAGCUUGGGUCCUCAUCUGGGGGCCAUGCACAGGCCCGUCCCACCCUGCAUGUGGGAAGGGAGCAGGAGGGCCUGGCUGGGUGAGGGGAGGCCUUCCUGGGAAGGCGUGUGGUGCAGGCCUGUGCUCACAGUGGCACCAGCAACCCUGGGUCUCCCUCUCUGCUGCUCCCCAGAACCCCGGGGCCCUCCUGCUCUCCACAACUGUCCCUCCUUACCCCAUGUAGCUCGAUCCGAAGCAGGAGUGUCAAUAAACCUGUCUUCAGUGCGCUUCUGGCCU
rnacentral:lncRNA from 1 species